GAUGAACGCCGGCGGUGUGCCUAAUACAUGCAAGUCGUACGCACUGGCCCAACUGAUUGAUGGUGCUUGCACCUGAUUGACGAUGGAUCACCAGUGAGUGGCGGACGGGUGAGUAACACGUAGGUAACCUGCCCCGGAGCGGGGGAUAACAUUUGGAAACAGAUGCUAAUACCGCAUAACAACAAAAGCCACAUGGCUUUUGUUUGAAAGAUGGCUUUGGCUAUCACUCUGGGAUGGACCUGCGGUGCAUUAGCUAGUUGGUAAGGUAACGGCUUACCAAGGCGAUGAUGCAUAGCCGAGUUGAGAGACUGAUCGGCCACAAUGGAACUGAGACACGGUCCAUACUCCUACGGGAGCAGCAGUAGGGAAUCUUCCACAAUGGGCGCAAGCCUGAUGGAGCAACACCGCGUGAGUGAAGAAGGUUCGGNUCGAAAGCUCUGUUGUUGGAGAA
rnacentral:rRNA from 1 species